rnacentral:rRNA from 1 species
GCCUACGGGGGGCAGCAGUCGGGAAUAUUGCGCAAUGGAGGAAACUCUGACGCAGUGACGCCGCGUAUAGGAAGAAGGUUUUCGGAUUGUAAACUAUUGUCGUUAGGGAAGAUAAAAGACUGUACCCAAGGAGGAAGCCCCGGCUAACUAUGUGCCAGCAGCCGCGGUAAUACGGAGGAUGCGAGCGUUAUCCGGAUUUAUUGGGUUUAAAGGGUGCGUAGGCGGAAGGUUAAGUCAGCGGUCAAAUGUCGGUGCUCAACACCGGCCUGCCGUUGAAACUGGUCUUCUUGAGUGAGCGAGAAGUA